UGGCCAAAGAUGAAAACUCUUUAACUGAUUACAGAUAUCUCUGUAGAGUGUUAGACACAGAUAUGAUGGUUUAAAGGAUUUUCUGAGGCCA